UUCGGGAGCUGUACAGGUGCUGCAUGGCUGUCGUCAGCUCGUGUCGUGAGAUGUUCGGUUAAGUCCGCUAACGAGCGCAACCCUCGCUGUGUGUUACAAGUGUCACACGGAACUGCCGGUCAUAAACCGGAGGAAGGUGGGGAUGACGUCAAGUCAGCAUGGCCUUUAUAGCCUGGGCUACACACACGCUACAAUGGGAAGGGACAAUAGGUUGCGAAGCCGCGAGGCGGAGCCAAUCCAGCAAAACUUCCCUCAGUUCAGAUUGCAGGCUGCAACUCGCCUGCAUGAAGUUGGAGUUGCUAGUAAACGCAGGUCAGCCAUACUGCGUUGAAUACGUUCCCGGGGCUU
rnacentral:rRNA from 1 species